AUUUGACUCAUCUUGUAAUGAUUUUACAAGAAAAAUUGAGUCACAUGUUACUUCAUUAUGGAAUCACAAUGUACAGCUUUUAAAAGUGAAAGGGCUGGGCUGGGAGCCAUAAAUCCUGGAGCUGCUUUAGAUUUUUCAUUUACCUGCCUGUGUAUCCUUUCUGCAGACCAAGUUCCCAGGACAACCUCUGUGAAUCUCUGUCCCCUGUCCCCUGGUGCAACUUAGGUGGGCUUUUUAGAAGACAGCACAGUUUUCACAGCAGUGGCAGAGCCGUUUGCUAAAUCCUCACGUUGGAUCUCAAAGGGAGAAAGUUUAAGCUCUCCUCACUAUGAGCUUUCAAGUGUGAAAGACAUUUUCUUCCACGAUGUUGAGAAGCUCUGUGGGGUAUUGAGACCAGGACAAGAGGGAAGCGGCUCAGAUGGCAGCCGAGAGAGCUCCAGCAGCUCCAGGACGGAGCGCGAUCACUCCUGCAGUGUCUGGAAGGCUGAGCGCAGGCCAGGUGGCUCCUCCACAACAGCCCUGGGACGGGGGCAGGCGGCUCCCAGCUCUCUUCCCGCAGCUGGAGCGGGGGCAUCUGCGGGCAGAUUAAGCUCUCUCUAAUUGACCGGCUGGCCGGCCGCACUCAGUGGAGAGGGACCCACUCAUCCGUCACCAGCAUCACGUGGUUCUCCCCGCACUCCACAGCGUCCUCUUGUUAUUUAAAGGGUUUUCGCCU